rnacentral:rRNA from 1 species
AUUAACAUACGUAAUUUAAAAAAUGUAUGUGCGUCUGACCUUGGAAGCUAAGCAGAGUUGGGCCUGGUUAGUACUUGGAUGGGAGACCACCUAGAAAUACCAGGUGCUGUAGAUG